AUUGAACGCUGGCGGCAGGCCUAACACAUGCCAGUCGAGCGGAUGCACGGUGCUAGCUCCUGGAUUCAGCGGCGGACGGGCGAGUAAUGCCUAGGAAUCUGCCUGGUUGUGGGUGAUAACGUCCGGAAACGGGCGCUCAUACGGCAUACGUCCAGACGGAGAACGUGGGGGAUCAUCGGAUCUCCCGCUCUUACAUGAGCCUAGGUCGGAUUAGCUAGUUGGUGGGGUAAAGGCCUACCAAGGCGACGAUCCGUAGCUGGUCUGAGAGGAUGAUCAGCCACACUGGAACUGAGACACGGUCCAGACUCCUACGGGAGGCAGCAGUGGGGAAUAUUGGACAAUGGGCGAAAGCCUGAUCCAGCCAUGCCGCGUGUGUGAAGAAGGUCUUCGGAUUGUAAAGCCCUUUAGUUUGGGAGGAAGAGCAGUAGGUUAAUACCUUGCUGUUUUGACGGUACCAAAAGAAUAAGCACCGGCUAACUUCGUG
rnacentral:rRNA from 1 species